rnacentral:rRNA from 1 species
GACGAACCGUGCGAACGUUGUUCGGAAUCACUGGGCUUAAAGGGUGCGUAGGCGGGUUGUCCAGUCUGGGGUGAAAUCCCACGGCUCAACCGUGGAACUGCCUCAGAUACUGACGACCUCGAGGGAGGUAGGGGCGAGCGGAACUGUGGGUGGAGCGGUGAAAUGCGUUGAUAUCCACAGGAACUCCGGUGGCGAAGGCGGCUCGCUGGACCUCUUCUGACGCUGAGGAACGAAAGCUAGGGGAGCAAACCGG